rnacentral:tRNA from 5 species
GCCCGGAUGGCGGAAUUGGUAUACGCGACAGACUUAAAAUCUGUUCCCCGCAAGGGGUUGAGGGUUCGAGCCCCUCUCCGGGCA